ensembl:snRNA U6 U6 spliceosomal RNA
GUGCUCGCUUCGGCAGCACAUAUACUAAAAUUGGAACGAUACAGAGAAGAUCAGCAUAGCCCUUGUGCAAAGAUGACAUCCAAAUUCAUGAAGCGUACCAUAAACCA